rnacentral:lncRNA from 1 species
UCGGCCAUUUUAGCUCCCUGCCUAACAACAUAGUCAUAAAAACAACAACAAUACAUCAAGCAAACAUUUUAUAAAAUCACAUCAAUAAUAACAAACAACUAACAAAAUCAACUAAUUUCAAUAGUAGGUACAUUUAUAAUUAUAAAAAUGAAUUACAAUACCAAAAUAAUUCAUUAAUUUCAAUUCAAUUACAAAUUAAUUAAAUUACAUAGUUAAACAUCUAACAAAUUAACCCAUUAAUGGACCUGCACCAUUAGAACCAUGGACAUGUCAUCAUCGUGUAUGAUAAACACGAUCAUCAUCCUCUAUUGUACUACCAAACAUUGAGCCUUCCCAACCUCCUCAAGUAAAGAAAUGCACAAUGAGAACCAAGUAUUGAAAGCACAACACACAACAUCGUCGAUAGCUUCACGAGCUACAACCACCUAAUAUGAUUGUGAAAAGAUUAUAUUAUCAUUUUUAAUAUAUAAAUAAGAAUUUUAUUACAUGUUAAAAAAAAAAAACUAUUCCAUACAUACCGGUCUAUUAGAUCUUGGUGCAUAAGGCUAAUAAUUAUCCGAAUCACAUGGAAGUUGACGUUAAGUGUCACGUGGAUAUCUCGUAACACGCUCUCAUGGUAGUGUUAUGAAUCACCUUGUUAUGUUCAUGUAAAACCUGACAAAAAUUUAGUCUUUGGUCGACCUAUGCUAAGAAGAAUUAAUGGAUGUAGACCGACUAACUUUAGAGAAAAAUCUGGAGGAGGAGGACUGACCUAUUCCAGGGGAGAAUUGGAGUAGUAACUAGCCCUAAAAUAACCCAAAAGAGAGAUAAAAACAGCCUUAACCAGCACCCAAACGGGUGGUGGUUAUCUUAUUUAAGAUGGAGUAUAAAUGUAAGGGAGAGAAAGAAGGUGACCCUACCUCUCCUUAAAGUCUAGCUGCAACUCUACUAGAACCGCCCCUCUCUCCUAAAGAGAAAACUGAAACCAACCAGUUGCAUGCCAAUCUUCUUAGUUACUGAGUGAGAAAAGAAUUGGAGGGAAGAGAAGUGAUAAAAAAAUAUGGAGGAAGAAGGAACCUCAAUCUCCUUCUAGAAUCGACAACAACUAUUGCUACAGCACACACAUUCUUUCUCAAAGAGAAAACUGAACCCAACUAGCCUACUGACACGACCAAAAGAUUGAUGUUUCUCCUAAGUGCAUGAGUGUUAAAGUAAUAAAUAACCCGGCAAGAUCGGGGUCGAACCAUAGAGAGGUUAACUAUAUAAAUUAUAAAUAAUAAUAAUAAUAAUAAUAAUAAUAAUAAUAAUAAUAAUAAUAAUAAUAAGUUAAAGAAGACUUUGAGAUGUAAGAUUAAUGUGAGGAUUCAACAAUGAUAAAAUAAAUGUCAAGGUUAAAGGAUCCACUAAUAGUAUUAGAAAUAAUUAUAGUAUAAACUCUUUUUAUUAAUCAACUAGAAACCACACACAAAGGAGGUUCCAAUCGGAUGAUUUAUCCUUAAUAGUUCAUUAUAAAUUUUUAACAUGAUCAUAUUAGUUAUCUUAUUUUAGUAACACCAAGCUUCUAAAUAUUGUCAGGAAUUUAUGAUGCUAACUUAUGUUAACAACAAAUCAAGUUCUUUUCAUAGCACAUGUGUAGGUUAUACCAUGCGGUUGGCUAUGAAAGUGCUAAGCAUUUGUUGUAUCAAGUGUUAUACAACACAAAUCUAGAUUUACCAUUUAACAAGCAAGGUAUUAAGAAUUAGUAAGAUAAAAAGAUAAGACAUGUUAAUAACAAACUUUCUUGGAUAUAAACAUUGAAGUCCAUAUUUAGUUUAUAUUAUACCUAUUCGAAUACUAUUAGUGAAACCUUUUCCACCUUGACAUAAUAAACUUAACUAAACAUUAUGAAGAAGAGAAACAUAAAUAAACAAGAGGAGAACAUGAUUAUGUAAGUAUAGUAAAGGAAAUGAAAGGCAUAAAUAAGAGAUUAAUGAAAAUAUAAUAUGGAAUAAAACUCAAAUUACAAAAAUAUAAAGAAAGAAAUAAAGAGCAUGAUCUUCAUCUGAAAACCAAGAUGCCUAAAUGCAUGGGAAAUGCCUCCUUUUAUAGGCUAAAAUUUGAAACUAUUAAUUUGAUGACUAAUUGUUGAGUAGGUGGCCAUAUUUUGACUUGGUGACAAUCCUUAUCUUUUUGUUUGAAUAAAACGUCAUUGAUAACAUCAGAAUUUGAACAGACUUAACUCAUAAAAGUUCUAGGAAAUUGUUUUAAUUUUCCAAGAAAAAAAAUUGAGAUCAUUUGAACUUCUACAACUCGAGAUAUGGGCUAAACACUGAAUAGUGUCUGGGCUGCAGGACAUAUUCAUUUGAUUUAUGUGAUAGGCCUACAUUUAAGAUGAACAUUUACCAUAAAUUAAACGUAUCUUAUAGUAUCAGACUUAUUAUUAUAAAACAUACUUUCGUUAAGGAGUUAUUGAUAUUCAAAAUGAUGAUGUAAAACCUUGAUAAAAAUACACUUUUAAGUACUAAUCACACCCUCAACCACCUUAUUACUAGUCUUUAAUAAUCAAAGCGUGAAAAUAGAAAAACAAUUUGCAAGUUCCACAAAGCAAGGCAUUCAUCAUUGAACUUCUAUUAAUCUAUCCAAAUAAAUAAACUCUCAUUAAAUUUAUAUAUAUCUGCUCAAUAUUUUUUAAACAAAAUAUUAAUAAACCUUCCUUUUUUAUGUGUUCAAUGUAUGAAAACAUAAAUGAUGGGGCUUUUAUUGGAAGAAAACAAUAUUAUGUUCUAAUGUUUAAGGUUAAUUUUCUUGGGUUGAGAUUUUUUUUUUUUUAAUAUAUAUACAUAUAACUUAAAACACAAUGCAUCUUUAACCUAUGUAACGAGCUUUCAGCUAAUGACUCCCAGACUAGUUGAUCUUAGGGCUUUAGAUGUUGAGACACCCCUACGAGCUUAGUAACUCGGGUUGCAGAUACUAAUACGUAGAUAAUGCAAUAUUUGAUUCCCUUAAGCUUUUCUUCGCAACCCGUGUAACAAGCAUUGGGUCAAUAGCUCCCAAGUCAGUUGACUUUAGGGUAUUAGGUGAUAAAACACCCAUUCGGACUUAAUUGUUUAGGUUAGGAAGGCUAUGAAACCAAACUUAUCUAUGUUUUAAUUAUCAUCAUUUUUUUUUUAUUUUUUCUUGCAAAUUAUAUACUAUCCAUUUUCUUUAGUUGCUACCUUUAACAGAAUAACAUAAAUAAUGUAAUAAUCCAAUGUGCAACCUAUAAUCAUAUGUUAAAGUGUGUGUGUGAAAAUGAAGGUUUAAGAAUACUUGUUAAAUGAGUAUAUAAGCAUAAUCAAGUGAUAACAAUGCGAAAGCUUGUAAACCUAAAUAUUUCAAGAGAAGUAUGUGAUAGACCUUGUUAUGAAUAUUGCAAAUAACCAUUGUAAAAUAUUUACUAAGAUGCGUCUCAAGAGUCAAUAAAAUUCUCCCUUACUCUGCCAUCCUAGUAAUAACAAUUUUGUCAAAUGGUUUUAAUAAUAGAAAAAAUAGUUAGUGAUUAGUACUUAAAAGUACAUUUUUAUCAAGGUUUUAUAUCAUCAUUUUGCACUUGAAGUAUCAAUAACUCCUUAACUAAAGUAUGUUUUAUAAUAACAUAUCUAAUAAUAUAAGAUACCUUUAAUUUAUGGUAAAUGUUCAUAUUAAAUGCAGGCCUAUCACAUAAAUGAAAGGAUUGAUUGAGAGUUUAAUUAUUGAAAUUGAAAGGACAAAGAGAGAGCCAAACUUAGAAAAGAGAUGUUGGUGCAGUCCAAACUGAAAUACUAUUUGGUAAUUGGGUCAUAUCUCGAGUUCUAGAUGUCCAAAUAACCUCAAAUUUUUGGACAUAUUCGGUAAGAAAUAGGCCUACAACUUUCAUUUGGAGUCCAAGAUUUAAAAAGGUUGUUUUUAAGUCCAAAUUAUAGCAACAACGGAAAAAUCUGAAUAUGUCCUGCAGCCCAAACACUGUUCAGUGUUCAGCCUAUAUCUCGAGUUCUACAAGUCCAAAUGACCUUAAUGUUUUUUUUUUUUGGAAAGAUAUGAUAAUUUCCUAUAACUUUUAUGAGUAUAGAUGGUUCCAGUUCUGAUGCUAGCAAUGAUGUUUUUUUUUUUUUCAGACAAGAAGAUAAGGAUUUUCAUCAAGUUAAGAGUUGGUCACCUACUCAACAAUUAGUCAUCAAAUUAAUAGUUCCAAAUUUUAGCCUAUAAAAGGAGGCAUUUUCCAUGCAUUUAAGCAUCUUGGUUGUUCAGAUCAAGAUCAUGCCUUUUAUUUCUUUCUUUAUAUUUUUUGUAAUUCUUAAGUUUU